UCCGUAGGUGAACCUGCGGAAGGAUCAUUACCGAGUGAGGGCCCUUUGGGUCCAACCUCCCACCCGUGUUUAUUUUACCUUGUUGCUUCGGCGGGCCCGCCUUUACUGGCCGCCGGGGGGCUCACGCCCCCGGGCCCGCGCCCGCCGAAGACACCCCCGAACUCUGUCUGAAGAUUGAAGUCUGAGUGAAAAUAUAAAUUAUUUAAAACUUUCAACAACGGAUCUCUUGGUUCCGGCAUCGAUGAAGAACGCAGCGAAAUGCGAUACGUAAUGUGAAUUGCAAAUUCAGUGAAUCAUCGAGUCUUUGAACGCACAUUGCGCCCCCUGGUAUUCCGGGGGGCAUGCCUGUCCGAGCGUCAUUGCUGCCCUCAAGCCCGGCUUGUGUGUUGGGCCCCGUCCUCCGAUUCCGGGGGACGGGCCCGAAAGGCAGCGGCGGCACCGCGUCCGGUCCUCGAGCGUAUGGGGCUUUGUCACCCGCUCUGUAGGCCCGGCCGGCGCUUGCCGAUCAACCCAAAUUUUUAUCCAGGUUGACCUCGGAUCAGGUAGGGAUACCCGCUGAACUUAAGCAUAUCAAUAAGCGGAGGA
rnacentral:rRNA from 1 species